rnacentral:ncRNA from 1 species
CUUCAAGGCAGGGUUAAUUUCCCUACCGGCGGUAUAGUCCGCAAGCCCAGUUGGGUUGAUUCGGUGAAAUUCCGAAACCGACGGUAAAGUCCGGAUGGAAGAAGU